AGGCAAUAUUCACUCAUUAAACAGUUCUCCGCUCUCAGCUGUUCUUCUCUGAGGGGUGUGGGGAAGGCAGUAAAAUGAAGUCAACUCGGCAGAGCACACAGCAAAUACUACGAGAAUCUGGGCCUGGGGCUGCUUUCUUUUAGAUGGACUUAUGGAAGAGACUUUCUUCUCUGGCCCGGCAAGAAAACUGCUCUCUGGUUUACAGAACUUAGAUGUAACGGGGAGCCUUCCUUCCACCAGCACUGAAGAAGCACUUCCUUUGAAAGAAGAUUCUGGAAAUGUAGUGGAAGACCUUGCGACCUCACAUCUAUCACCUGUCUACCCCAUUCCUCCUCAGGAGUACCUGGUAAAGACAUGUGGAGAAGAGCUAGAAAGUGAGAAUGGAAUCCCAUUUAUCCACAGUAGCCCAACUAUAGCUAUUAAGGAGUUGUAGUACUGUUCACUGCUUCUGCCUGUGGUGUCUAUUUCUUCCCUCUUUGUCAAAGUCACUUUCAGGUGCCUUAACCUCUUCCAGAUCUAAGCUUUCUGACUGACAUGUUUAAGAAAGUGAAAUAAAAAUGUGUAUACUACCCUA
rnacentral:lncRNA from 1 species